UACGAAGGGGGGCUAGCGUUGCUCGGAAUCACUGGGCGUAAAGGGUGCGUAGGCGGGUCUUUUAAGUCAGGGGUGAAAUCCUGGAGCUCAACUCCAGAACUGCCUUUGAUACUGAAGAUCUUGAGUUCGGGAGAGGUGAGUGGAACUGCGAGUGUAGAGGUGAAAUUCGUAGAUAUUCGCAAGAACACCGGUGGCGAAGGCGGCCAACUGGACCAUUACUGACGCUGAGGCGCGAAAGCGUGGGGAGCAAACAGG
rnacentral:rRNA from 1 species